AUUGAACGCUGGCGGCAUGCUUUACACAUGCAAGUCGAACGGUAACAGGUUAAGCUGACGAGUGGCGAACGGGUGAGUAAUGCAUCGGAACGUGCCCGGUCGUGGGGGAUAACGCAGCGAAAGCUGCGCUAAUACCGCAUACGAUCUGAGGAUGAAAGCGGGGGACCGUAAGGCCUCGCGCGAUCGGAGCGGCCGAUGUCAGAUUAGGUAGUUGGUGGGGUAAAGGCUCACCAAGCCGACGAUCUGUAGCUGGUCUGAGAGGACGACCAGCCACGCGGGGACGGGGACACGGCCCAGACUCCUACGGGAGGCAGCAGUGGGGAAUUUUGGACAAUGGGCGCAAGCCUGAUCCAGCAAUGCCGCGUGCAGGAAGAAGGCCUUCGGGUUGUAAACUGCUUUUGUACGGAGCGAAAAGGCUCUCUCUAAUACAGGGGGCUCAUGACGGUACCGUAAAAAUAAGCACCGGCUAACUACGUGCCAGCCGCCGCAGUAA
rnacentral:rRNA from 1 species